rnacentral:tRNA from 1 species
AGCUCAGUGGUCCAAUGGUAGAGCACUCGUCGCGUAAUCAGAGGGUCCUUAGUUCGAUCCUCAACGGGGUCG